GACGAACGCUGGCGGCAUGCCUAACACAUGCAAGUCGAACGGAGAUUAUUUCGGUAAUCUUAGUGGCGAACGGGUGAGUAACGCCUGGGCAACCUGCCCUCUAGAUGGGGACUACAUCCCGAAAGGGGUGCUAAUACCGAAUGUGACAGCAAUCUCGCAUGAGGAUGCUGUGACAGAUGGCCUCUAUUUAUAAGCUAUCGCUAGAGGAUGGGCCUGCGUCUGAUUAGCUAGUUGGUGGGGUAACGGCCUACCAAGGCGAUGAUCAGUAGCCGGUCUGAGAGGAUGAACGGCCACAAUGGGACUGAGACACGGCCCAGACUCCUACGGGAGGCAGCAGGGGGGAAUCUUCCGCAAUGGGCGAAAGCCUGAAGGAGCAAUGCCGCGGGAGGGAUGAAGGAAUUCGGUCCGUAAAGCUCGUUUGUUUAUGACGAAUGUGCAGAUUGUGAACAAUGAGCUGUAAUGACGGUAGUAAACGAAUAAGCCACGGCUAACUACGUG
rnacentral:rRNA from 1 species